rnacentral:rRNA from 1 species
GACAGAGGAUGCAAGCGUUAUCCGGAAUGAUUGGGCGUAAAGCGUCUGUAGGUGGCUUUUCAAGUCCGCCGUCAAAUCCCAGGGCUCAACCCUGGACAGGCGGUGGAAACUGCCAAGCUGGAGUACGGUAGGGGCAGAGGGAAUUUCCGGUGGAGCGGUGAAAUGCGCAGAGAUCGGGAGGAACACCCGUAGCGAAGGCGGCACUCUGGGCCGGUACUGACGCUGAGGAGCGAAAGCGUGGGGAGCAAACAGG